UGCAACAACACACGAUGAACCUGAAAGAGGAAAACGAGCGACCUCGACGCUUUGAAUUUCUACCAGACAUACUACCAUGCAAGAUGAAAAAGAGAGCAAAUUCAUAACUUUAAAAGACGCUGAGAGUGCGUAGGAGUUCCAAUGAAGGCAUCGUUGAUGGCGUGGUGGUUGUCUGACAAAGACAUUCAAAACCAUGUGAUCGUCGGUCGUAACUAGAAUUCCAGUAUUGACCACGGCAGCGGUAGAUGGCGUUACCGUCGACAGCAGCAAAUGUAGUGGCAGGGGCAACAAAAAAAAAUUUUUACUCAAGAGAACCUGACUCUAGAUACCAUGUUGAAUAUAGUGAAAAAUAUAUAUGGGAUUAAUCUUGCUUGUGUUGAAUAUACAUAUAGGACUAAGUCCAAAAUACAAAUAAGAAAUAAUAAUAAACUAAGUAAAGGUAAAAGAUAAAUAUAAAAUAAAGAUAACAUAUCUAACAUAAAAGAAGGAAAAAAAAAAAGGAAGAGAUGAACCAGGCAUACGUGCAAUUUUAGGGUUCAGAGGGAUUUUUACAGGAAGGAAGAAUUUAGGCACAUAGGGUUUUGGAAUUGGAGGAAAAAAUUAGAGGGAAGAAAUGUAAAAAAGAUUAGGAAAUAAAGAAAGAAAAUAUAUUGUUAUUUGAAGUGGAUAUAAACCUCUCUUAAAAACAAUUAAAACUCUCACUAUUAUUAUCAUUAGAUAAUUUAAGUUAAACAUCUUAAAUUAUGUUAAUUUGAGGGGUUUUUUAUAACUUCUGCAAAAUAACCUCCUCUAAAUAAGUUUUUUCUUUUUUUUAUUUUGUAGUGUAUGGUUCUCCAAGCAUCUCUUACUCUCCACCUCCAAUGAUUUAUUUGGUUG
rnacentral:lncRNA from 1 species